rnacentral:rRNA from 1 species
UGGAUAACCGUGGGAAAUCUAGAGCUAAUACAUGCAAUUACUUGGAUGACGCAAGUUGUUCAAAGCAUUUAUUAGAUUAAAACCAACUUUGUUAGGGGGCAACUUCUAACACAAGGUGAAUCUAGAUAACUUUGCUGAUCGUAUGGCCUUGUGCCGGCGACGUUUCAAUUGAAUUUCUGCCCUAUCAACUUGUUGGUAAGGUAGUGGCUUACCAAGGUUACAACGGGUAACGGGGAAUCAGGGUUCGAUUCCGGAGAGGGAGCCUGAGAAAUGGCUACCACAUCCAAGGGAGGCAGCAGGCGCGCAAAUUACCCAAUCCAAAUACUGGGAGGUGGUGACGAGAAAUACUAGAUGGUUUCCUAUUGGAUACCAUACUGGAAUGGACGUAACUUAAGCAAUUCGAUGAGUAACAACUGGAGGGCAAGUCUGGUGCCAGCAGCCGCGGUAAUUCCAGCUCCAGUAGUGUAUUUUAAAGUUGCUGCGUUUAAAACGCUCGUAGUUGGAUUACGCAGUGCAAGUUAGUAGAUUGGCGCAGUAGUACAUUAAAUCUGGUUAGUUUUUUCAUGUUCUGUGGUUAAACCCGGAAUACUGAGGGGCUGGCCAGAGUGCUACGUGUCGAUUAUAAGCUAACUUGUACUACUUACGCGUGAGGAUGGUAGUUGAUCUUUAGUGCAUCGACUAUUGUGUCUCACGGAGUGUGCCUUGAAUAAAUCAGAGUGCUUAAUACAGGCUUUUGCUUGAAUGUUAAUAGCAUGGAACGAACAAUUGUGUUUAUGCGUGUUGUAAAAGUGCCUUGGUGGAUUCAUAUUUAUCUUUGUACUUUUAGAGCACGCAGCACCAACCGCCAAUACAGGAUGUUGGUUUCCGUAUUGGGGUGAUGAUUAAAAGGAGCGGUUGGGGGCAUUAGUAUUC